UGAUAGGCCGGGUGUGUAAGCGCAGCGAUGCGUUGAGCUAACCGGUACUAAUGAACCGUGAGGCUUAACCUUACAACGCCGAAGC
rnacentral:rRNA from 3 species